AUGCAGCACAAUGCUCAUUUCUUAUUCAAUGGUCUGGUAGUUUUUUGUGUUCUUACCGGCAUCAUUUUUGUGAUUAUUAAUGACCAUGUGUCAAUGCUCAUUUUAUCAGGGGUAAAUUGGCUGUACAUCAUCAAAUUGAUGCCGCCUUUCUCACUUACCAAUAUAAGUGUGCCUCAGUUAUCAGUUGCAUAUGCUUUAAUAUACCUGUGUCAUUUGUUUUGCUAUAGUUUAGCAGGUGUGGCACCGUCUUUGUUUUUUAACCAGAUUAUUUUUUCUGUAAACCAAGUGCAUUUUGCUCGAUUUAUUUCUCAUGGUCAUGAUAAUCUUUUUUGUGUCACCAUGAACCACAAUGAUAUGUUUAUCAGCUGUAUUAUUGCUUUGUCAAACACCAGUUUAUAA
rnacentral:rRNA from 1 species